GCAACUGUGGCUCAGUUGGUAGAGCAUGGUGUUUGCAAUGCCAGCAUGGUGUGUGCAACGCCAGGGUUGUGGGUUCGAUUCCCACGGGGGGCC
rfam:Salmo salar isolate Sally breed double haploid chromosome ssa16, whole genome shotgun sequence.